AGAGCGUAGGGAGAAUGCCUAGGUACCAAGAGCCGAAGAAGGACGUGAUAAGCUGCGAAAAGCCACGGGGAGGAGCAAAUAUCCAUCGAGCCGUGGGUGUCCGAAUGAGGGAACUCAUACAGUAAAAAAAGACUGUAUAUCCAUACAUGAGUAAAGUAGUGUAUAGGAAGGGAACGUGGGGAACUGAAACAUCUUAGUACCCAUAGGAAAAGAAAGUAACAACGAUUCCUGAAGUAGUGGCGAGCGAAACAGGAAGAGCCCAAACCAUGGAUAGUAAUAUUUGUGGGGUUCGGAUUAUCAAUAAAGCCAAGAAUGAUGUUAGUAGAAUUACCAGGGAAGGUAAACCAAAGAAGGUGAAAGUCCUGUAUAUGAAAACAGAGUGAAGGCGAGAUAAAUCCAGAGUAGUGCGAGACACGAGAAAUCUCGUAUGAAAGAGCGGAGACCAUUCCGUAAGGCUAAAUACUACUUGGUAACCGAUAGAGAACAAGUACCGUGAGGGAACGGUGAAAAGGACCCCGGGAGGGGAGUGAAAGAGAACCUGAAACCCUAUGUUUACAAGCAGAUAGAGCGAUUUAAGGCGCGAUAUCGUACUUUUUGUAGAACGGUCCAGCGAGUUAUUGUAUAUGGCGAGGUUAAGUUCUGAAUAAGGAAUGGAGCCGAAGAGAAAUCGAGUCUGAAGAGGGCGAUAUAAGUCAUAUAUAAUAGACCCGAAACCGGGUGACCUAUCCAUGGUCAGGAUGAAGCUGAAGUAAAAUUCAGUGGAGGUCCGAACUGAUUGUCGUUAAAAAGGCACCGGAUGAACUGUGGAUAGCGGAGAAAUUCCAAUCGAACUCGGAGAUAGCUGGUUCUCCUCGAAAUAGCUUUAGGGCUAGCCUUGAGGUCAAAGAAUUAUGGGGGUAGAGCACUGAAUGAGGUAGGGGCCAAACCAGGUUACCAAACUCUAUCAAACUACGAAUACCAUAAUUAGAAUACUCAGGAGUCAGACUGCGGGAGCUAAGUUCCGUGGUCAAAAGGGAAAGAGCCCAGACCGACAAUUAAGGUCCCAAAGAUAUAGUUAAGUGGAAAACGAUGUGAAUUUGCAUAAACAACCAGGAUGUUGGCUCAGAAGCAGCCACUCAUUCAAAGAGUGCGUAACAGCUCACUGGUCGAGUGAAUUUGCGCGGAAAAUUACCGGGGCUAAACUAUCCACCGAAAUUACGGAUUGCAGUACAUUUAACAAUGUAUGCGGAAAGAGAAAAGAAGAAAGAAGUAUAUAUUGUUAAGUGUACUGUAGUGGUAGAGGAGCAUUCUGUAGUAGGAAGAAGCUAAAGCGAGAGCAUUAGUGGACGAGACAGAAGAGAGAAUGCUGGAAUAAGUAGCGAGAGCAAGGUGAGAAUCCUUGCCGUCGAAAGUCUAAGGUUUCCUGGGGAAGGUUCGUCCGCCCAGGGUAAGUCGGGGCCUAAGGAGAGGCCGAAAGGCGUAUCUGAUGGACAGCAGGUGGAGAUUCCUGCACUAUAGCUAGUUUUAAAAGAUGCAAGGGACGCAGUAGAGGAAGAUAACCAAGGAAGAGGAAAAACUUGGUCCGCAAGGGAUAGUGAAAAUUAAUAGUAACGAAAUAUCAAGAAUCACACUGACGAGAAAAGCUUGUAGAUAUUAACUAGAAAUACCCGUACCGCAAACCGACACAGGUAGAUGAGGAGAGGAUCCUAAGACGAGCGGGAGAAGCAUUGUUAAGGAACUCGGCAAAAUAACCCCGUAACUUCGGGAGAAGGGGAGCCUAAGUAAAAUUAGGUCGCAGAGAAAAGGCCCAAGCAACUGUUUAACAAAAACACAGGUUUCUGCAAAAUCGAAAGAUGAAGUAUAGGAGCUGACGCCUGCCCAGUGCUGGAAGGUUAAGGGAAAGAGUUAGGUGUAAACCGAAGCUUAGAACUAAAGCCCCAGUGAACGGCGGCCGUAACUAUAACGGUCCUAAGGUAGCGAAAUUCCUUGUCAGGUAAGUUCUGACCCGCACGAAAGGCGUAAUGAUUUGGGCACUGUCUCGACAAUGUACCCGGCGAAAUUGUAGUACUAGUGAAGAUGCUAGUUACCUGCGACAAGACAGAAAGACCCCAUGGAGCUUUACUGCAGUUUGAUACUGGGUUUCGGCAAGUUAUGUACAGGAUAGGUGGGAGACUAAGAAAGAAAGGCGUCAGCUUUUCCGGAGUCACCCUUGGGAUACCACCCUUAAUUUGUUGGAAUUCUAACUAGUGGUCAUGAUCUGGCCAGAGGACAAUGUCAGACGGGCAGUUUGACUGGGGCGGUCGCCUCCAAAAGAGUAACGGAGGCGCCCAAAGGUUCCCUCAGUGCGGACAGAAAUCGCACGAAAGAGUGUAAAGGCAGAAGGGAGCUUAACUGGAAGAUAGACAUAUCGAGCAGAUACGAAAGUAGGGCUUAGUGAUCCGGUGGAAAUUGAAUGGAAAAGCCAUCGCUCAACGGACAAAAGUUACCCUGGGGAUAACAGGCUUAUCUCCCCCAAGAGUUCACAUCGACGGGGAGGUUUGGCACCUCGAUGUCGGCUCAUCGCAUCCUGGAGCUGAAGUCGGUUCCAAGGGUUGGGCUGUUCGCCCAUUAAAGCGGUACGCGAGCUGGGUUCAGAACGUCGUGAGACAGUUCGGUCCUUAUCUGUCGCAGGCGGAAGAUAUUUGAGAGGAGCUGUCCUUAGUACGAGAGGACCAGGAUGGACAUACCGAUGGUGUAUCAGUUGUCACACCAGUGGCACGGCUGAGUAGCCAAGUAUGGAAGGGAUAAACGCUGAAAGCAUCUAAGUGUGAAGCCCACCUCAAGAUAAGAUAUCUCAUAUCGU
rnacentral:rRNA from 1 species